UUCCCCUCCUCCUCCUCCUCCUCUUUUUCUUCCUCCUCCUCUUCCUCCUCCCCCUGCCAGCCACUCCGUCUACGCUCAGCUCUACGGUUUGUGCCCCAGCCACAAAAUGGAGGACGGCGACGGUGCAAGCAGCAGCCGCAGCAGCCGCGGCAGCCUCCGCCUCCUCCUUCUCCUCCUCUUCCCCCCUCCCUCCCCUAGACCAAGGAAAGAGAGCAGAGACGCGGCAGAGCGGGGAGCCCGCGCAGGAAAGGCGGGCGCGCGCAUUGCGGGGCAGCCGAGGGGGAACGGUGCAACCUGUUGACUGAGAACAGCAACUGCACCCCCCGGCAGGGCCUCCUCCCCCCCACCACAUCUUCUCCAAACGUGCCCCUUUCCGCUAACAGUUUCUUUUUUCUUCUUCCCUACCUUACUUUCUUUUAUUAUUAUUUUUUCGGUUUCUUAUCUUGCCCGCUGCAGCCUUACGGUUUUUUAAAUUAUUUUUUUUGGUUUGGUUUUUAUAAAGCAGCGUGUUGAUUUAGAAGUCGAACCCACUGCGUUUUUAAAAGGUUUGGGCUGUUCAAAGGAGGGGGUGAAAACGAGCGAACGAGGGGACGACGAAAACAGGCAACAAACAAACCUUCAGAGAGGAUUGAAGGGCCAGCGCUGAUGCGUUAAGCCGAAGUGACAGGAAAAGAUUUCGGUAUUUCCUAGAAAAUAACACUUUUUAGAACUGUAAAUUCAGGGUGCCAUCUUAUAUAUGCGUUAUUAGAAAAAAACCAAAUCUACUUAAACAGUGAGAUUUUGGAGGGGGGGGGGCAAAUGUUUAUAAAUUGUAUGCUAUACAGACAAUUGUUGGCUAUUAAAUGACUAUUAGAGGAGCAGGCCUCUUCAUUACAUGUCUCAUUUUAAAACAGUUUUCGAUAUUAUAUAUCAACAAAAAAACAACAACCAAGUUCUGCAUUAGCUAGUGGCUUAUACAGCUCACUUGUAGGAUAUAUGGGUCCAAUGAAAACAGACUGGAAGAAGACAUAUAUGAAUUUCUGUGCAUAUAAUUAUCAAUUUGAUAUCUACCCUAUGCAGUAUUUUUUCAUGUGUCCAUAUGCAGACACAUUUCUAGAAAUGUAUGUAUGUAUAUAUGUAUGUAUGUUUGAUUCAAUUAAAUUUUAUUUCAUUCAAUUUAAGGUACACUGUGCAUAAGAGUUAUGAAAACACAGACAGCACUGUUUUGAACCUAGAAUGGCUUCGUCAGAUGUCCCAAGUUUGAAAAGACAGUAGUGAUCUGGGAGUUUAAUUUAAGUUAGCAUUAAAUAGUUCUGUUCUGCAUGUAAAAUAAAGCUUGGCUGCUUUGAAUGAAUCCAUGCUUGAAUUUUACCUUUGUAGUUUGGGAUUGGAUUUUUUUUUAAAUAGAAAAAACAGCCUAACCAGUGCAAUAGCAGGAAUUGACAAUACCAUGCUGUUUGUAGGUUAGAUUAGAUAGGGUUAGAUAGGAUCAGUGCCAGAAUGCAGGGAGAGAGAUGUAGUUUCUAAGCACUAGGGGAAAGAUUGAAGGAUCCAUGUUCAUCACCCACUUCUACUUUUGUACAGUUUGAAGACUACUUGCAAUUGUCUUUUUACCUGG